rnacentral:tRNA from 1 species
GGCCGCUUGGCCCAAUGGUAAGGCGUCUGACUACGACCGAGUUCGCACACGAACUUGAUAUGUUAUCAGGAGAUUCUGGGUUCGAGCCCCAGGGUGGUCA